UUUUUUUUUUAAGUGAGGGCUCAUGACAAGUUAAUUCAUGGCCCUGGAGUUGUGGGUGAUCUGAUACAGCAAUACUUGGUAUUACAACUGCCCUUCUGUUUUAAGAAAUCUCUUUGGGAGGAAGCCUAAAUUAGCACAAUAAAAUAUCCUCUAUCUCUAAUCAUACAAUUUAUCCUACAAACCAAGAUACUUUCGAAAGUGAAAAGGGAAACUUUCUAAGUAUUUAUUUAUUAAUCAACAAACUGUUUUUAUUAUAUUUUAUUCUAAAAUAGGAAAACACACAUUCACUAUGUUAGAGCAAAAAAUUUUUCUUUGUAUUAUAUGAACACCUAUAAUAUCAUAAGUAGAUUAAUUACUCUUGGUGUAUAUUCAUGUACUUUAAUCCAUUUUCUUAAAGAGUCUGCCUCUAUUAUUGUGUCCCUGAUAUUUUCUCUGGGAAAAAAAGUUUGAAAAUUUUUCACUAAGUUAACAAUCUUUUUGAAAGUUUCAUUUUAUGUCAAAUACUCUGAAACCACUGACAUCUUCAUGUGGCUCUUCUGUAUUGAUAUUACUUUUAAUAAGAAAACUCUUUCUCGGCAGAUGCUGAGAAACCUGGUAAGCUCAAAGCAAAUUUUACUAACUAGAGGAUAUUCUCAAUUCUUUUUUUUUUUUUAACAGCAAAGUUGUAAGUAUUUCAGUCUAACUACUUUACAGAUACAACCUUUUUUAUUUUAUUUUAUUUUAUUUUAUUUUAUUUUUUUCACAAAUGCACCUAUGGCAUAUGGAAGCCCCCAGGCUAGGGGUCGAUUCAGAGCUGCAGCUGCCAGCCUACACCACAGCAAGGCGAUGCGGGAUCCAAGCCGUAUCUGCAAACAAUGCCACAGCCUGCAGCAGUGCUGGAUCCUUAAUCCACUGAGCAAGGUCAGGAAUCGAACCCAUGUCCUCAUGGUUACUAGUCAGGUUCGUUACCACUGAACCACAGUGGAUACUCCUCAGACUUUUUUUCAAUGGGUCUCAUCAUUUCAUAAACCACCUACAAGAGACUAAACCUCAUCUCUGAACUCAAGGGUCAUAUUUUCAGAUUUACAUCUCCCCCUGGAUGUUUAAUAGAUGUUUCACACUCAACAUCACCCCAUGCCAACCUCCUGACCUUCCCCACUAAGACUGAUGCUCCUCCAGUGGG
rnacentral:lncRNA from 1 species